AAGAAGUCAGGCCACUACAAGUGCCAUAACUUGAGCAAAUUGUGCAGCCUGUAGCUCCACCUGGGAAGGUGUAAAAAAUCUGGGAGGCCACAAACCAUGGAAGCUGUACGCAUGGCGUAGUGGACUAGCGGUUAGAGGAGACCCCUCCCUUGCAAAUCGCAGCAACAAUGGGGGCCCAAGGUGAGAUGAAGCUGUAGUCUCACUGGAAGGACUAGAG
rnacentral:lncRNA from 1 species